UACAGAGGUGGCAAGCGUUGUUCGGAAUUACUGGGCGUAAAGAGCGUGUAGGCGGUCCGGUAAGUCCGCUGUGAAAGUCGGGGGCUCAACCCUCGAAUGCCGGUGGAUACUGUCGGGCUUGAGUACGGAAGAGGCGAGUGGAAUUCCUGGUGUAGCGGUGAAAUGCGCAGAUAUCAGGAGGAACACCUAUUGCGAAGGCAGCUCGCUGGGACGUUACUGACGCUGAGACGCGAAAGCGUGGGGAGCAAACAGG
rnacentral:rRNA from 1 species